rnacentral:lncRNA from 1 species
CCUCCCCUGUUUCUCCGACGACUUCUCCUCCUGGAUCAAUGGCGCCUAAAUCAGGUUCCCCUGUUUCUCCGACGACUUCACCACCCGGGUCAAUGGCACCUAAAUCCUCGACUUCUCCCCCAGCACCACCUAAAUCCUCUUCCCCUGUUUCCCCAUCCUCUGCUCCGAUGACUUCACCGCCAGCACCAAUGGCACCUAAAUCAUCUUCCACUGUUCCUCCGUCUUCUGCUCCGAUGACUUCACCUCCGGCACCAAUGGCACCUAAAUCUUCUUCCAUUGUUCCUCCGUCGUCUGCUCCGAUGACAUCACCUCCGGGGCCAAUGGCACCAGAGUCAUCAUCCCCCGCCGUGUCUCCAUCUAUGGCUCCGGGAGACUCUACUUCUCUUUCGCCGUCAGGUUCCCCGUCAGCAAACUCUCCGUCAGGUUCGGGGAUGGGUCCCUCGGGAGAUGGUCCCUCAG